CGUGUUAAGAUGUCAUCACAAGGUUGAGUGACACAAAGGAAUGUUCACUAAAUAAUAAACCACAUUAUUGUUCUUCCUGACAGUUUAAGGAAAUUAAACACUGAGAGGUGAAAGUCAUGUGAAAUCUGAUUUCCAACCAACAGCGUGGACACACACACACACACACACACACACACACACACACACACACACACACACACACACACACACACACACACACACACACACACUUAUUACUUGGAAGUGUGGUGUAAGGUCCAGGACCACCCUUUUUAUUCGAUAUAAAUAAGAGAGCAUGAAGCUUCUGUCUCAUCCACAAGACGUCUUUUAAAGAAGACAUUUCUUGCCACCUGCUUCAUCAGUUCCUUGUUAAGAACAAGAUGUCCAGUGUUGUUGAAGUUGGUGGAAAUGGAGGACAAUCAUUCUCUUUUAGUGGCAUAAAUGAUGGAUCCUGCGUGAACCAGAUCAAGGUUUGGGAAGGAGAUGUGUGGAUAAAAGCCGUGCAGGUGUGGCUUACUGAUGGCCGGUCCUAUCUGUGUGGUGUUUCUGAUGGCAUUCCGCAAGAGUUUACAUUUAAAUAUUAUGAGAAAUUCGCCUCCAUUUCACUUUCACCAAAUCAAGAUGGUACACAUCUGGGUGCCAUCAAAUUCACGACAAAUUUGGGGAAUCAGUUCUUUGCAACCAUGACAAGUGGUCAGCUGCAACCAGAAGUGAAAGUUCAAGUUGAAUCUGGGAAAUGCGUAGGAAUCCAAGGAGGUUCUGGGUCUAACAUCAAUCGCUUCGGCUUCAUAAUGCUCAACAAGUGAUACCAAUUUGUUGUAUCCCACUGUUUCUAUAGUUUCACCCAAUGUGACUAAUCUUUUGACAUUUUCAGAUUAUAAUCUGUUAUAAUUUGGAUCAAUAAAAUCAGUCUCAAUUGAAA